rnacentral:rRNA from 1 species
UACGAAGGGGGCUAGCGUUGCUCGGAAUCACUGGGCGUAAAGCGCACGUAGGCGGUUUGUUAAGUCAGGGGUGAAAUCCCGGAGCUCAACUCCGGAACUGCCUUUGAUACUGGCGAUCUUGAGUCCGGGAGAGGUGAGUGGAACUGCGAGUGUAGAGGUGAAAUUCGUAGAUAUUCGCAAGAACACCAGUGGCGAAGGCGGCUCACUGGCCCGGUACUGACGCUGAGGUGCGAAAGCGUGGGGAGCAAACAGG